rnacentral:lncRNA from 1 species
AAGAAGUCAGGCCAGAUUAAGCCAUAGUACGGAAAGAGCUAUGCUGCCUGUGAGCCCCGUCCAAGGACGUAAAAUGAAGUCAGGCCGAAAGCCACGGAUUGAGCAA